GGCUGGUCCGAAGGUAGUGAGAUCUCACAACGAUUGCUUACAGUCAAUUGCUGGUCGACCUAUUUGUCUACCCCCCCCUCACUACUGCACUUGACUAGUCCUAA
ensembl:misc_RNA Y_RNA Y RNA